rnacentral:lncRNA from 10 species
CUGUUAGACAGUGGAGUUGUCAAAACUAACAAGGUAGCUAAAAAGAGCGCCCGAAGCAAUUCAACUCACAGUGUCCCUUAGGCAGAUACUAUUGUAAACUAUCAAACAAGCAAAAAAAAAGAAAAAAAAAAAAGAAGAAGAAGAAAGACAGAAAAAAGAAAAAGAAAAAAGAAAUUAAAGAGGUGCUAUUCUCUUUAUUUUAGAAAGAAAAUAUCUGAAUAGCUCGCAAAAUGAAUGGGUGAUUUAACUGCCUAACCCAAUGCUGAGCAGUGAAAACUUGUCUGUGUCUAGGAUUCUAAUGGCCAAGACUCAGACGCCCUAGGUAAAAAGUAUGUUGAGUAAGCUAAUGUAAAGUUUUUACGUGGGCCAAAUUCUAACUGUGGCCACAUUCUAAACUCCCCUAUAUCUCUCCCCUGAGUUAACUGAAAUUAACAGUGACUCACCAACCAUCAAAGGGAUUCACAGGCUUUAAAAAGAUGAGCCAUUAAUGAAGGCAUCUCUAUAUCAGCUUCAAAUUGGUGUUUUAAAUCUUAGUUGACUCCUAGGCAUUCAAGUAUGA